AGUCGAACGCGUCUCCGUUAAUGAUUUUAGGUGCUUGCACUUGAAAGAUUUAACAUUGAGACGAGUGGCGAACUGGUGAGUAACACGUGGGUAACCUGCCCUUGAAGUAGGGGAUAACACUUGGAAACAGGUGCUAAUACCGUAUAACAACCAAAACCACCUGGUUUUGGUUUAAAAGACGGCUUCGGCUGUCACUUUAGGAUGGACCCGCGGCGUAUUAGCUUGUUGGUAAGGUAACGGCUUACCAAGGCGAUGAUACGUAGCCGACCUGAGAGGGUAAUCGGCCACAUUGGGACUGAGACACGGCCCAAACUCCUACGGGAGGCAGCAGUAGGGAAUCUUCCACAAUGGACGAAAGUCUGAUGGAGCAACGCCGCGUGAGUGAUGAAGGGUUUCGGCUCGUAAAACUCUGUUGUUGGAGAAGAACAGGUGUCAGAGUAACUGUUGACAUCUUGACGGUAUCCAACCAGAAAGCCACGGCUAACUACGUGCCAGCAGCCGCGGUAAUACGUAGGUGGCAAGCGUUGUCCGGAUUUAUUGGGCGUAAAGCGAGCGCAGGCGGUUUUUUAGGUCUGAUGUGAAAGCCUUCGGCUUAACCGGAGAAGUGCAUCGGAAACCGGGAGACUUGAGUGCAGAAGAGGACAGUGGAACUCCAUGUGUAGCGGUGAAAUGCGUAGAUAUAUGGAAGAACACCAGUGGCGAAGGCGGCUGUCUGGUCUGUAACUGACGCUGAG
rnacentral:rRNA from 1 species